CCUACGGGCGGCAGCAGUGGGGAAUAUUGCACAAUGGGGGAAACCCUGAUGCAGCGACGCCGCGUGAGUGAAGAAGUAUUUCGGUACGUAAAGCUCUAUCAGCAGGGAAGAAAAUGACGGUACCUGACUAAGAAGCCCCGGCUAACUACGUGCCAGCAGCCGCGGUAAUACGUAGGGGGCAAGCGUUAUCCGGAUUUACUGGGUGUAAAGGGAGCGUAGACGGCAGCGCAAGUCUGGAGUGAAAUCCCAUGGCUUAACCAUGGAACUGCUUUGGAAACGGUGCAGCUAGAGUGCAGGAGGGGUAAGCGGAAUUCCUAGUGUAGCGGUGAAAUGCGUAGAUAUUAGGAGGAACACCAGUGGCGAAGGCGGCUUACUGGACUGUAACUGACGUUGAGGCUCGAAAGCGUGGGGAGCAAACAGGAUUAGAUACCCAGUAGUC
rnacentral:rRNA from 1 species